GUGUGUAUAAAUUAGCAAAUCUUGGGCUAAUUUAUAUUCAAAUAAAUCAGCAGAUUAGAUAUCAAAAUCCUUCAAAACUCGGGGGUGUUCGUGUUCCUUCCGAUCUUUGAAAUGGACAAGGUUGCAGAGGAGGUGGAUCGGGUCAAAAAUGAGUGGAACCACGCUUUCCAUCACACUCUCGAGCGGAUUAAGGCAAUCGAAGCAUACGAGAAGCAAAGUGAAUCAAUGGAGAAGAAUUCUCUCCCCAGACUCAAUGCUCUGGCUCAAGAUGGAUUGAAUCUCCUUUCGUCGUUGGAAUUCAAUCUCGAUCUUCUUGCCCCCCAGUUGCUCUCUGAUUCUGAAGUCGAAGCUGCUCAAUCGCUGCUUCAAUCCUGGAAAAAUCAAUCCAACAAUUUGCGAUCGAGUCUGAGAAACGCUAAUAUGCAAGCAAAAGCCAACAUGAGAAAGGCUGCACAGGAGGAGGAUGUUGGUGGCUUUCAUUGUAGAGAGAACGACUUCUCGGUGGAGGAGAAGAGUCCACAAUUCGCAGACGGAAUUUACAGUAUGUUGUCAAUACUUGACGUUUUCAGAAGAACUAAGGCCGGAAUGACAUCUGCUGCAGAAAGCAUCACAGAGAGCCUUCGCCGAACCCGUCAGCUUAUGGUCCAGGAGGUGGAAAGAACUGCAAACACAAUUGAGACUUUCGAGGAAUCAACUGGAGUGUUAAAGAAGGCUGAAAGUGAAUAUAAGGGGCACCGCUCAUUGUUAACGCGAACCAGAAACUUACUUUCAACAAUGCAACGGCAAGAUGUAAUGGACAGGAUUAUAUUGGCCGUCGGAUUUUUCUUUUUCUCUCUUGCUGUUCUUUAUGUCGUGUCAAAACGUAUUGGACUACUGAAGUUGCAGAGGAUGGCCACCGCUGCCAUUAAAGCUGGGAUGGCCAAGCAAGCAAAUCACAUACCUGGAGAUAUUGACCAUGGUAGAAAUCCAGUUCAAGCCAAUGAGGAUUUAAUUCACAGAAUUGCAGAUCCACAGGAACGACGUAUUUGGGACGAACUUUGAAGCGGAACAUUCGUUCGAAAAUGAAUUGACAAAUUGCACAUCUCUAGAGUAUUGUUUUCUGGACAAGGUUUUAAGAACUCAUUUGAAGCAUAAGUCGUUUGGAUUUAUGGAGGUAGAAAAGAUAAUUGGCCAUUUGUGAUGGGUUACCAAUUUGCUGAGCCCCUUUGGAACAGUUGAUCGAGCUUGUUUAGCUUACGUUUGGUUUUAUUUAUAUAUACAGCAAAAAAAGUCUGAGAAAAAAGCAAAAAGAAUAAACCAUUGCGUGGAAAUUUUGAAAACUCAUGUUUCAUUAAGGUAUCCAAAUUUGUUGAGAUGUUUUUUGUAAAGAUAUCCUAGGAUAUUUGAUAAUCAUGUAAUAACUAUUUUAAGUUAAA